rnacentral:rRNA from 1 species
UACGUAGGGUGCAAGCGUUGUCCGGAUUUAUUGGGCGUAAAGAGCGUGUAGGCGGCCAGGUAGGUCUGCUGUGAAAACUCGAGGCUCAACCUCUAGACGUCGAUGGAAACCGUCUGGCUAGAGUCCGGAAGAGGAGAAUGGAAUUCCUGGUGUAGCGGUGAAAUGCGCAGAUAUCAGGAAGAACACCCGUGGCUAAGGCGGUUCUCUAGUACGGUACUGACGCUGAGACGCGAAAGCGUGGGGAGCGAACAGG